UACGUAGGUGGCAAGCGUUGUCCGGAUUUACUGGGUGUAAAGGGCGUGUAGCCGGGCUGACAAGUCAGAUGUGAAAUUCCGGGGCUCAACCCCGGACCUGCAUUUGAAACUGUUGGUCUUGAGUAUCGGAGAGGCAGGCGGAAUUCCUAGUGUAGCGGUGAAAUGCGUAGAUAUCAGGAGGAACACCAGUGGCGAAGGCGGCCUGCUGGACGACAACUGACGGUGAGGCGCGAAAGCGUGGGGAGCAAACAGG
rnacentral:rRNA from 1 species